CAAUCCCAAUCCAAUCCCAAUCCAAUCCCAAUCCCAAUCCCAAUCCCAAUCCCAAUCCCAAUCCCAGUCCAAUCCUGAUCCCAAUCCCAAUCCCGAUCCCAAUCCCAAUCCCAAUCCUGAUCCUGAUCCCAAUCCCAAUCCUGAUUCUGACUUCAAUCCCAAUCCCAAUUCAAAUCCUGAUCUCAAUCCUGAUCCCAAUCCUAUCAUCAAUCCCAGUCCUGAUCCCAAUCCCAAUCCUAUCAUCAAUCCCAGUCCUGAUUCCUGUCCUGAUCUCAGUCCUGAUUCUGAUCGGGAUUCCAAUCCUGAUUCUUUAUGAUCCCAACUAAUCCCGAUCCUUGAUCCCAAUCCCAAUCCUGAUCCCAAUCCUGAUUUUUUCUGAUCCUGACUCCAAUCCUCACCCUGAUCUUGAUCCUGACUCCAAUCCCGAUCCCAAUCCCAAUCCCAAUCCAAUCCUGAUCCCAAUCCCAAUCCCGAUCCCGAUCCCAACCCAAUCCCAGUCCCAAUCCCAAUCCAAUCCCAAUCCCAUCCCAAUCCAAUCCCAAUCCCAUCCCGAUCCCGAUCCCAAUCCCAUCCCAAUCCCAAUCCAAUCCCACUCCCAAUCCCGAUCCCAACCCCAUCCCAAUCCCAAGCCAAUCCUGAUCCCGAUCCCAAUCCCGAUCCCAAUCUAAUCCCAAUCCAAUCCCAAUCCCGAUCCUGACUUUAAUUCCGAUCCCGAUCCCAAUCCCAUCCCAACCCCAAUCCAAUCCCAAUCCCAACCCGAUCCCAAUCCCAAUCCUAAUCCCGAUCCCAAUCCCAAUCCCAAUCCCAAUCCAAUCCCAAUCCAACCCCAUCCCAAUCCAAUCCCGAUCCCAAUCCCAAUCCGGUCUGUGCCGUUCCAGCCCUGCAGCUGCUGCUCAAGGAUCCGGUUCCAGCCGUGAGGGUCAAGGUGGCCGAAACCCUGGGACGCCUCGUCCGCCUCCUCUGAAUCCCAGAAUUCCCAAAAUUCCCAGGAAUUCCUGGGAAUUCCCAGCUCCGAGACCCUGGGACUCCUCAUCUGCCUCGUCUGAAUCCUGAAAUUCCCAAAAUUCCCAGGAAUUCCUGGGAAUUCCCAGCUCCGAGACCCUGGGACUCCUCAUCUGCCUCCUCCGAAUCCCUGAAUUCCUGGGAAUUCCUGGGAAUUCCCGGAGUUUUCAAUGUCCAGGGCUGGGGGAUCCCAAUCCUGAUCCCGAUCCCGGUCCUGACCUCGAUCCAGAUCCCAAUCCCAACUCCAAUCCUGAUCCUUGAUCCUGAUCCAAAUCCAAUCCUGAUCCCAAUCCCGAUCCCAACUCCAAUCCUGAUCCCAAUCCUGAUCCUGAUCCCAAUCCCAAUUCUGAUCCCAACUCCAAUCCUGAUCCUUGAUCCUGAUCCGAAUCCCAAUCCCAAUCCCAAUCCCAACUCCAAUCCUGAUCCUGAUGUCAAUCCUGAUCCUGACUUCAAUUCCGAUCCUGACUCCAAUUCUGAUCCUUGAUCCUGAUCCCAAUCCCAAUUCCGAUCUUGAUCCCAGUCCUGAUCCCAAUCCUGAUAUCAAUCCCAGUCCUGAUUCUGAUCCCGAUUCCAAUCCCAAUCCCAAUCCCGAUCCCGAUCCCAAUCCUGACCUCGAUCCAGAUCCCAAUCCCAACUCCAAUCCUGAUCCUUGACCCCGAUCCCAAUCCAGAUCCUGAUCCUGACUUCAAUUCCGAUCCUGACUCCAAUCCUGAUCCUUGAUCCUGAUCCCAAUCCCAAUCCCAACUCCGAUCCUGAUCCUUGAUCCUGAUCCCAAUCCCAAUCCAAAUUCAAUCCCAAUCCUGAUCCCAAUCCCAACCCCAAUCCCAAUCCUGAUCCUGAUCCUGAUCCCAAUCCCAUCCCAAUCCUAAUCCCGAUCCCAAUCCAAUCCCAAUCCCAAUCUAAUCCUGAUCCCAAUCUCGAUCCCAAUCCAAUCCAAUCCCAACUCCAAUCCUGAUCCUUGAUCCCAAUCCCAAUCCCAAUUCCGAUCCUGAUCUCAAUCCCGAUCCCAAUCCUGAUCCCAAUCCCAAUUCUGAUCCUGAUCCCAAUCCUGAUCCCAAUCCAAUCCCAAUCCCAAUCCCAUCCCGAUCCCGAUCCCAAUCCAAUCCAAUCCAAUCCAAUCUCUAUUCCGAUCCUGAUCUCAAUCCCAAUCCCAAUCGUGAUCCCAUUCCCAUCCCAAUCCAAUCCCGAUCCCAUUCCUGAUCCUGAUCCUGAUUCUGAUCCUGACUCCGAUCCCAAUCCCAAUCCAGUCGCAAUCCAAUCCCAAUCCCAAUCCCAAUCCCAAUCCUGAUCCCAAUCCCAAUCCAAUCCCGAUCCCAAUCCCGAUCCUGAUCCCAAUCCCAAUCCUGAUCCCAAUCCCAAUCCAAUCCCAAUCCAAUCCUGGUCCCAAUCCCAGUUCCGAUCCUGAUCCCAGUCCUGAUCCCAAUCCUGAUCCCAAUCCCAUCCCAAUCCCAAUCCUGAUCCCAAUCCCAAUCCCAAUCCCAUCC
ensembl:lncRNA